CUUUUUAAUUCAUUCUAAAAAUUAGUUUCUGAAGGUUAUGUAAAACUAGUUGAAGACAUAGAAGAGAAGAAGAUGGUGAUGGGCAUUUCAUCUCCAUCUUACAGCUGGAAUUCCUUCGUCCUCGCCAACUUGAACCUCUUUCUUUGACUCCGCCAUCAUCUUCAUUCAGAGCGUUGGAGUUGGAAGAGAAGGUUCAGCCUCUGAUCCCAUGGCCGGUGUCUCCCUUUACAAACCUAAAUCCUACGAAUUCCCUCUCUUAUGCUCUUCAAGACGGCAAAAUUCGCCUCGAAAUCGAUUUCCCGCCUUUGCCCAGUAACAUUUCUUCUUAUAAGGUCCUUGGCAGGUGAUGCUUAAACAAGCAGAUGGUUCUUAUGCUUGCAUAGCAGAAAGUGCAAACCGCUUCAGCCUUGGCGAGGCCAAAGAGGAAUUGUUGAGGGUCUUGGGACUUCAAGAAGAAGAGAGAAGUUCUCUAGAAUUUCUUCGAAGAGGCUACAAGGCAAGCACGUGGUGGGAAGAAGAUUUUGAUUCAGAAGUAUCUUAUGGAUGGCGGAGUUGAGUUGUGCACUGUUAGACGAGACUGUUUUACUGCAUCCGCAUGUAGUGGUCAUUGAAUGCCCUCACAUAUAUUCAAGAAAGACAUUUCCUGCAGAACUGCCCAAUUUUUAUAUUUUAUUUUUUAAUAUUCCUUAAGGUAAUAUUUUUCCAUUCCCCCCCCUUCCGUUUGAAACGGAUGUCACACAUGGCAAAGAAAUGUAAGGACUUUGCAAACUCAAUUGUAAUUUGUAACAUGUCAAUUGUGGGCAUCCACCUGUCCAUGUCAAUAGUUGGAGAGGGCCAUGCAACCCUAUUUUGUAAAUCUUGUUGCAUUCCUCGACUAUGCAUCCGUAUUGCGCUUAAUU